rnacentral:rRNA from 1 species
UUUUUGAAAUCUAUAAAAAGUAAUCUCCUGCCCAGUGAGUACUCUUAAACGGCCGCGAUAUUAUAAUCGUGCAAAGGUAGCAUAAUAACUUGCCCAUUAAUUGUGGGCUAGAAUGAAAGGGGUAACGAAAUAAGAGCUGUCUCAAUAAAUAAAAUAUAAACUAUUAUUUAAGUGAAGAAACUUAAAUUCUAAUAAAGGACAAGAAGACCCUAUAGAGCUUUAUCUAAACUUUAUAAAAAAUAAAGUGAGAUUCGGUUGGGGCGACCAAGGAUAAUUCAUCCUCAAACAAAAUAGAUAAAUAAAUCUCCUUAAAGAUCCUUUUAAAGAUCAAUAAAUCAAGCUACCUUAGGGAUAACAGGCUAAUCCUAUUAUAGAGCCCUUAUCAACAAUAGGGAUUGGCACCUCGAUGUUGGCUUAGAAUAUCUCUAUGGCGCAAAAGUCAUAUAAAGAAGGUUUGUUCAACCUAUAACAUUC